GACGAACGCUGGCGGCGGGCUUAACACAUGCAAGUCGAACAGUGGCGAACGGGGGAGAAAUAUAAUGGAACGUACCGAGUAAUGGGGGAUAACCAAUCGAAAGAUGGGCAAAUACCGCAUAUCAUUCGAGAGGCCAAUAUCUGAGUAGCUAGUUGGUGGGGUAAAGGCCUACCAAGGCGACGAUCAGUAGCGGGUCUGAGAGGAUGAUCCGCCACACCGGGGCUGAGACCCGGCCCAGCCUCCUACGGGAGGCAGAAGUGGGGCAUUUUGGACAAUGGGCCCAAGCCUGAUCCAGCCAUUCCGCGUGUCUGACGGAGGCCUUCGGGUUGUAAAGGACGUUUGUUAGGGAAGCGGUACCUACAGAAUAGGCACCGGGUAACUACGUGCCAGCAGCCGCGGUAAUUC
rnacentral:rRNA from 1 species